GACGAACCGUGCGACCGUUGUUCGGAAUCACUGGGCUUAAAGGGCGCGUAGGCGGGGUGGCAAGUCUGUGGUGAAAUCCUCCGGCUCAACCGGAGAACUGCCGUGGAUACUGCCAUUCUCGAGGGGUGUAGGGGCAUGUGGAACUCAGGGUGGAGCGGUGAAAUGCGUAGAUAUCCUGAGGAACGCCGGUGGCGAAAGCGACGUGCUGGACACCUACUGACGCUGAGGAGCGAAAGCGUGGGGAGCGAACAGG
rnacentral:rRNA from 1 species